ACCUUGUUUGAAAGAAGCGUGGAUCCUGCAUCAGUGGCAAUGAUGACCACCAGGGGGCAGACGAGAGCAUCCUUAGAAUUAUGCAGACACUCAGCCCUCCUUCUAGGGGUGGAGAAAGAAAGGGCAAGGUCGUAUCUUUCUUCUGAGAAGUGUGGUGUGAGGCCAGUUCCUGAAGAUGCUGGUGCUUCUGCUGCUUCUAGGACCCAGCUCUGGGCUUGGUGCUCUCGUCUCUCAGCAGCCCCGCAGGGCUGUCAGUAAGAGUGGAGCCUCUGUGACCAUCGAGUGCCAUGCAGUGGACCUUCAAGCUACAACCGUGUUCUGGUACCGUCAGUUCCCGAAACGAGGCCUCGUGCUGAUGGCAACUUCUAAUGUGGGCAGUAAUGCCACAUAUGAACAAGGUUAUAACAAGGACAAGUUUCCCAUCAGUCAUCCAGAUCUAACAUUUUCAUCUCUGAUGGUGACAAGUGUGGAUCCUGCAGACAGCGGCCUCUACUUCUGCUGUGCUAGAGACACAGCGCUGGGCAGAGAUCAGAGACCCAGACAAGAAUCCUGGUAGCAACCCCCUUCCCCACCCCACUGAACCAUGGGGCCCUGUGGAAGGAGGUGUGGAGAGAGAAAAGCCACAGCCUCUCUGACUGAGUCAUCUGUGGCUGUGUGUGUAGAGAGAGAAAGGGAGAGAAAAUAUCUGAGAGCGGAGAGAAG